rnacentral:tRNA from 1 species
GCGAAUGUGGUGUAGCGGUAGCAUGUGAGUCUUCCAAACUCUUGGCACAAGUUCGAUCCUCGUCAUUCGCU